rnacentral:rRNA from 1 species
AACGUAGGGCGCGAGCGUUGUCCGGAUUUAUUGGGCGUAAAGAGCUCGUAGGCGGCUUGUCGCGUCGACCGUGAAAACUUGGGGCUCAACCCCAAGCCUGCGGUCGAUACGGGCAGGCUAGAGUUCGGUAGGGGAGACUGGAAUUCCUGGUGUAGCGGUGAAAUGCGCAGAUAUCAGGAGGAACACCGAUGGCGAAGGCAGGUCUCUGGGCCGAUACUGACGCUGAGGAGCGAAAGCGUGGGGAGCGAACAGG